rnacentral:lncRNA from 1 species
UAGCGGUUAGCUCUGGGGGAAUUAAUGAUUAAUGAGGACAGCAAUGCUCCACGCACCACACACCUGCACACUUGCACACCCGGGCACACUCUCCUCCAAGAGCUGGCAGGAACAAUCACCAACCAGCCUAUGCACCACUGCCCACUUUGAAAACACACAACUUGGUGUAGCUGCACAGAAGCUAGGGCAUUAAAGUCACUCCUUCUGCACUGUUAAUAGGAAUCCCUCUGGAUUGCACCCACCUUGUUGAGAGAGCUACAACUGGGUAACCCCAGAGCCACGGUGGGAGCACAGUUCAUACCCACCAGGACCCCUUGGGAGACAAGAGGCCCAUGGAGCAGGGUCCUACUCUCUAGCACCGUAUGGCUUGGAACUCAUAGAUAUUUACCUGUCUGCAUCCUAAGUGCCGCCAUACCCAG